rnacentral:rRNA from 1 species
CCUACGGGUGGCAGCAGUGAGGAAUAUUGGUCAGUGGUCGGGAGACUGAACCAGCCAAGCCGCGUGAGGGAGGAAGGUACAGAGUAUCGUAAACCUCUUUUGUCAGGGAACAAAGACUGGGACGCGUCACCGGAUGAGUGUACCUGAAGAAAAAGCAUCGGCUACCUCCGUGCCAGCAGCCGCGGUAAUACGGAGGAAGCGAGCGUUAUCCGGAUUUAUUGGGUUUAAGGGGUGCGCAGGCGGUCUGUAAAGUCAGCGGUAAAAGCCCGGGGCUCAAGCCCGGCCCGCCGUUGAAACUGGCAGUCUCGAGUUGGAGAGAAGUAUGCGGAAUGCGCGGUGUAGCGGUGAAAUGCAUAGAUAUCGCGCAGAACUCCGAUUGCGAAGGCAGCAUGCCGGCUCCACACUGACGCUGAGGCACGAAAGCGUGGGUAUCGAACAGGAUUAGAUACCCUAGUAGUC